AACACGUAUGGAACCUGCCCGCAGCAGGGGGAUAAGCGGAACAAAUUCCGUCUAAUACCGCGUAACAACGUUGGGAGGCAUCUCCCGAUGUUUAAAGAUUUAUCGGCUGCGGAUGGCCAUGCGGCGCAUUAGCUAGUCGGCGGGGUAACGGCCCACCGAGGCGACGAUGCGUAGGGGUUCUGAGAGGAAGGUCCCCCACACUGGUACUGAGACACGGACCAGACUCCUACGGGAGGCAGCAGUGAGGAAUAUUGGUCAAUGGCCGAGAGGCUGAACCAGCCAAGUCGCGUGAGGGAAGACGGCCCUACGGGUUGUAAACCUCUUUUGUCGGGGAGCAAAGAGAGCCACGUGUGGUUCAUUGAGAGUACCCGAAGAAAAAGCAUCGGCUAACUCCGUGCCAGCAGCCGCGGUAAUACGGAGGAUGCGAGCGUUAUCCGGAUUUAUUGGGUUUAAAGGGUGCGCAGGCGGAGGUGCAAGUCAGCGGUCAAAUUGCGGGGCUCAACCCCGUACUGCCGUUGAAACUGCAUCCCUUGAGUGCGCGAGAAGUAUGCGGAAUGCGAGGUGUAGCGGUGAAAUGCAUAGAUAUCACGCAGAACUCCGAUUGCGAAGGCAGCAUACCGGCGCGCAACUGACGCUCAUGCACGAAAGCGUGGGUAUCGAACAGGAUUAGAUACCCUGGUAGUCCACGCAGUAAACGAUGAACACUAACUGU
rnacentral:rRNA from 1 species